rnacentral:rRNA from 1 species
GACGAACGCUGGCGGCGUGCUUAACACAUGCGAGUCGAACGGAAAGGCCCUGCUUUUGUGGGGUGCUCGAGUGGCGAACGGGUGAGUAACACGUGAGUAACCUGCCCUUGACUUUGGGAUAACUUCAGGAAACUGGGGCUAAUACCGGAUAGGAGCUCCUGCUGCAUGGUGGGGGUUGGAAAGUUUCGGCGGUUGGGGAUGGACUCGCGGCUUAUCAGCUUGUUGGUGGGGUAGUGGCUUACCAAGGCUUUGACGGGUAGCCGGCCUGGGAGGGUGACCGGCCACAUUGGGACUGAGAUACGGCCCAGCCUCCUACGGGAGGCAGCAGUGGGGAAUAUUGCACAAUGGGCGGAAGCCUGAUGCAGCAACGCCGCGUGCGGGAUGACGGCCUUCGGGUUGUAAACCGCUUUCGCCUGUGACGAAGCGUGAGUGACGGUAAUGGGUAAAGAAGCACCGGCUAACUACGUG